UGCAUAGUCUCUUAUCUGCUUCUCUGAGUCUUAGGUUCUGACGUGGGUUGGACGAUCUUUGCCUUAUCCUAUUAGGUCCGAUCUUCGGAGGAUCCCGACGGAGGCGCAUCAUCAACGACGGGACAACGACUUCUUGUUAGUGGUGUCGAGGAGAUCGACAUGCCGCCAUAAGAUCUGAUAGUUCACCUCUCUUCCCCCGUACCUUGGCGUGGGAUCUCGGGCGCGAUCCCUUGUUAGUGGUGUCGAUUGUAACGGCCCCGGGUAGUAUCCCACAUUAGAUUUAUUUGUGCUUUCCUUUUGUGCAUCAUCAUCAUCAUGCAUAUCAUCUACAUGACUUUGACAAAAUAAAACCUAUUUAGUUUUCUGUUGUAUGGAUUUAUGAAACAAACCCACCCUCGAGUCUCUUCUUAUUUAACAAAACCCCAAAUCUAAAUGUUUGACAGAGUUAGAAAAUUGUUUUAAGUCCAAUGCAAAGUUUCCAAAAUGUUGACCAUUUUAUCUUUUCUGAAAACAUCUCUCCGUUUCACUUUUCUACUGUAUCUCUCUUUCCUUGCUUUGGACAAAAUCCCACGGUUAAUUUUUUCAAGCGAGGCUGCCUACACUUCCGGCUGAAUUCUCACAUGGACCAUCUUACCAAUCCAGGGAAGAGACUCCUGUAGCCUUCUUCAACACGCGAGGAGCAUGAGCUCACUGUCAACAUCAACCUCUCAACCAUCCCAACCACUCCCCUCUCCCCUCCUGUUUAUCCCCACCGAAGCAGCCAUCAAACCCUAGCCCCUCUCCAUCCUCGUGCCGCCGCCCCCUCCCUUUUCCCUCGACCACGCAAACGAGCGAGGCGAAAAUUUCACAGAAAACACCGAACACCUCCGCCGCAGCAUCACCGUCGCCCCGUCGUCUCCGACCACCUCUCGCCGAACCAAGGCCACCACGAGCUUCUCCUCAUCACGCUGAAGCUCCUCGACACACGCGCGCAACAAAUCGAGUUUGAAAUCGACGACAAGGAUCACUUCUCCAUCUCCGCCGCCGGCAGAAAUCUCGUGUUUCCGGCCGCCUCCGACCUCGUCCGCCACCGACGAGGUGUUCAUCAGCUUUCUGUUCAUCUCCGCCAUGGCCGACGACAGGCCUCAGCGCCGCACGCGCUCGUUCCUGCCGGCCUUCUUCCCGGUAGUCGACCACGUCUUCUCUGCUCUGGUCGCAUCAUUCCCGUUCUCGCAUUUGCUUCUUCCCGGAUAGGAUCGCGAAGUGGUGAUGUGAGAUCCGAC